rnacentral:rRNA from 1 species
CUGCUGCCUUCCGUAGGAGUUUGGUCCGUGUCUCAGUACCAAUGUGGGGGACCUUCCUCUCAGAACCCCUAUCCAUCGUCGGUUUGGUGGGCCGUUACCCCGCCAACUGCCUAAUGGAACGCAUGCCUAUCUAUCAGCGAUGAAUCUUUAGCAAAUAUCCCCAUGCGGGGCCCCUGCUUCAUGCGGUAUUAGUCCGACUUUCGCCGGGUUAUCCCCCUCCUGAUAGGCAAGUUGCAUACGCGUUACUCACCCGUGCGCCGG